UGAGUAUUGCGGCAGGGAAAAAUUACGUGAAUGACUUCUGGAAACACUGACUUCCUAAGGACUGUUAUGAGAAGUAAUAUCGCGUUAUAUCUGCAGUCAUCUUUGGUACCAGGGAUCAGCGGAGAGCCGGGGGAAAGAGUUUGACACAGACAGGGCAGAGUUACUGGGAAGAGACUCCAUCAUAUCCCCUGCUUCCUGUGAAAAGAACAGGGUACUACAAAUAGUCCUAAUCCAAGUCAACACCAUUUUGCUUCUCUGGAGAGGGACUGAGAAGCGGAGAGAAACAAACGAACACACGGUCAAAGGGAAUGCAGAUAAUUUAUUUUUACAGAAAAACCUUCUGGUGCAAAAACUGGAUCUUCGUCUGAUCUGUGCCACACUGAGACCGACUGAUGUCAGCUGGAGCCUGGAAAAAUUACUGUGCUGCAAAGCAACGGCAGUCAACGAGCGAGCUUCUUCUCGUCCUGUGGCAGCACCCUGAAGAUAUCAUGUGCACAGAGGUUGCGUGGGGAGGGGGAAAAAGGGUAUUUACCAGCUUCUCCUGGUUCCCACCCCUGUUGUUGACAUGCCCCUCUCCACCUGGCUGCUGUCCCACCAGUUUUAGCUUCUGGCUGGGAGAGGAGCCAAGCUUCUCCAUCAGCAUGGAGAUACCCAUGUACCUACGUGAAAGCUUUGGCCUGCAGCUUGAGGAGGAAACUGAACAAAUACACAAUCUUUUCUCUUAUUUGUUAAUAUUUCUCUCGAUAAAUCUCUUUCCCUGCUUUAUGCUGUGUCACGUGGGGCCUCCCAAUGCCUCAUUUAUUAUUUGACAGGUCCAUGCGUGCUUUGGACAUUGGGUUGUGAAGUUGCUAUACUUUGCCAAACAUGGCUAGAAAUUUUGUUCACAGAGUGAGAAAAAGUGCUCGCAAGCGAGAGGGAUGAUUGAUUUCCACAGCAGCACUGAGAGUAUGUAAGCAAUACAAAUCGUCUGUAUUUUGCUUUAAUUUAAGUCUGGAUUGGAUCCUUAAAGAUCCUUUGAAUACGUUCUUGCUACAUAUAUGACAGACUGCAUGCUCCAUUGCACGAGGGGCAUGGUAUACGUAAAAGUAUUUAUAUUUUCUCCUUAAGAUUCUUUACUUAUGCAGAACCACAGGGAGAAACCCACUUUGUGCCUGUGUGUGAGACAGCCUACCUGAAAUUUCUCAGAGGUCUCUAAGACCCGCAACCUCCCCCUUGUUCCCCUCAUUCAUCACAGAGCCCACGAUCCAGCUUCUGCCUUUGGAUGACAAGCGGGAGAUUGCCAAUUGUCUUGGAAAUGUAAAAUAAACACUUUUUCUACAUAUGUUAAUGCCAUUGUUUAUUGACUACUUACUCAGCUUGGAUGUAAUUGGGGUCAUUAGGGAAACAGAAGCAGCUCAGUGCCUGUCAAUACCUGACCUUUAAAAUAUUCAGUACAUUCAGUGUUACAUGAUGUUUAACAAGCUGGCCUUUUCAUGUGAA